ACAAAUUUUUGUGCACCGGGCCUCUAGUGUUUAAAUAGUUUUCUGUGUUGUCCUCUUUCCAUCUAGAAAUACGGGCUUUUGUGUAAGUCCUUUUCUUAUACUAAAUUUAUAUAAAAAAUAUAAACUUUGAUUAACAAAGUUUAAUGAGGACUAUAAUGCACGUGUCCUUUGAAAUCAUUUGAUGAAAGGGGCUAAUUCAAUAUAAAAUACUGCUUUUGCUUUGAAAUCAACACAUACACAUACUGAGUUUUAACAUGCUUUUGAUAGAAAGUGAGUCUGACUAUCUGUUUUUAGGUGGGUGCCAGACUUCAUAUCAGAUGUGGGACCAGUACACAGGUCAGGUCUGGCCAAGGGGCUCCCUGAAAGAGAGACAGAUGACCCAGUCUCCCUUACCUGGGUGGAGUAUGCAGUUUGUCAAAGAUUGAGAAGCAAUGGAAAGGCCAUGUCUACAGAGGGAGAAGGACAAUAGACACUAGGGCUGUGACUUAUCAGAAAACGAGGAGCCUGCUGACUAAUGAUCACUCUGGCAACUUUCAAGAUGAAUUAGAGAGUUGGGGUCCUGAAGAAAGAGAGAUCAAUGGAGAGCCGAAUGCAG